CAUUAGAUUACUUAAAUGCAAGUGUUGGUCUCUUAAACCAAAUUAUAGUAUAAAAGCGAAUACUUCUAAUGG
rnacentral:tRNA from 1 species